GGAUUAGGCAUGCAAGUCGAACGGGAUCCUUAAGAUUCAAUUCUUCGGAAGAGAAUUUUUUGGUGAUAGUGGCGAACGGGUGAGUAACGCGUGGGCAAGCUGCCCUGAAGCUCGGGAUAGCUUCGAGAAAUCGAAGGUAAUACCGAAUGUGAUCGCCUCGCGCAUGUGAGGUUAUUUGAAGGUGGGGAUCUUCGGACCUGCCACUUCAGGAUGCGCCCGCGUCCCAUCAGCUAGCUGGUGAGGUAACGGCUCACCAAGGCAAAGACGGGUAGCUGGUCGGAGAGGAUGGUCAGCCACACUGGGACUGAGACACUGCCCAGACUCCUACGGGAGGCUGCAGUCGAGAAUCAUUCGCAAUGCCCGAAAGG
rnacentral:rRNA from 1 species